GACGAACGCUGGCGGCGUGCUUAACACAUGCAAGUCGAACGGAAAGGCCCUGCUUUUGUGGGGUGCUCGAGUGGCGAACGGGUGAGUAACACGUGAGUAACCUGCCCUUGACUUUGGGAUAACUUCAGGAAACUGGGGCUAAUACCGGCUAGGAGCUCCUGCUGCAUGGUGGGGGUUGGAAAGUUUCGGCGGUUGGGGAUGGACUCGCGGCUUAUCAGCUUGUUGGUGGGGGAGUGGCUUACCAAGGCUUUGAUGGGUAGCCGGCCUGAGAGGGUGACCGGCCACAUUGGGACUGAGAUGCGGCCCAGACUCCUACGGGAGGCAGCAGUGGGGAAUAUUGCACAAUGGGCGGAAGCCUGAUGCAGCAACGCCGCGUGCGGGAUGACGGCCUUCGGGUUGUAAACCGCUUUCGCCUGUGACGAAGCGUGAGUGACGGUAAUGGGUAAAGAAGCACCGGCUAACUACGUG
rnacentral:rRNA from 1 species